AACAGGAUUAGAUACCCUGGUAGUCCACGCCGUAAACGAUGUCGACUUGGAGGUUGUGCCCUUGAGGCGUGGCUUCCGGAGCUAACGCGUUAAGUCGACCGCCUGGGGAGUACGGCCGCAAGGUUAAAACUCAAAUGAAUUGACGGGGGCCCGCACAAGCGGUGGAGCAUGUGGUUUAAUUCGAUGCAACGCGAAGAACCUUACCUGGUCUUGACAUCCACAGAACUUUCCAGAGAUGGAUUGGUGCCUUCGGGAACUGUGAGACAGGUGCUGCAUGGCUGUCGUCAGCUCGUGUUGUGAAAUGUUGGGUUAAGUCCCGCAACGAGCGCGACCCUUAUCCUUUGUUGCCAGCGGUCCGGCCGGGAACUCAAAGGAGACUGCCAGUGAUAAACUGGAGGAAGGUGGGGAUGACGUCAAGUCAUCAUGGCCCUUACGACCAGGGCUACACACGUGCUACAAUGGCGCAUACAAAGAGAAGCGACCUCGCGAGAGCAAGCGGACCUCAUAAAGUGCGUCGUAGUCCGGAUUGGAGUCUGCAACUCGACUCCAUGAAGUCGGAAUCGCUAGUAAUCGUGGAUCAGAAUGCCACGGUGAAUACGUUCCCGGGCCUUGUACACACCGCCCGUCACACCAUGGGAGUGGGUUGCAAAAGAAGUAGGUAGCUUAACCUUCGGGAGGGCGCUUACCACUUUGUGAUUCAUGACUGGGGUGAAGUCGUAACAAGGUAACC
rnacentral:rRNA from 1 species